rnacentral:tRNA from 1 species
GGGGAUGUGACUCAGUGGUAGAGUGCUUGCCAAGCAUGCACGAGGCACUAGGUUUGAUCCUCAGCACCACA